rnacentral:rRNA from 1 species
AUGUUUGGGGAGUGGGAAGACUUAUUUCCCCUGGUUUUUGUCAGAAAGCUGGUCCGAGAGAUUUUGGAUCAUAACCCUCUGCUGCUUAACUCUGGGGAAGAGGGACGAGAGGCCCCCAAACCACGCGACUUUCGUUUUGAUCUUUCUUGGAUUAAGGAUGAACGCUUCCUGCCUCUGGUCAGUAAAAUCUGGGCUCGAGGGGUUCUUUCUAAAGACCCCAUCGAUGUCCUGAAUAUUAAGCUGAAGAGAUUCAAAACCUUUUUUAAAGGGCGGGGCUCGGACAAAUUUGGUCACAAUAGGAGGUUGAAGGAGGAUCCCAGGCUGGAGUUAGCCGCGCUGGAAGAACUGGAGGAGGAUGGGCCCCUUACCCUGGAUGUGUAUAGUAGGAAAAUUGAUGUGUGCUUUGAACUCCAUGGGAUCUUGGUUAACAAAGAGAUUUACUGGCUUCAGCAAUUGCACGAGCGAUGGCUGCUUAAGGGUGAUCUGAACACUGAUUAUUUUCACAAGAUUGCCAAUGGGCGUAAGCGCAAAAAUACGAUCCAUGCUCUUAAAGCUGGGGAGGUGGAAAUAGAGGGCACAGAUAACCUGAUCACCCAUGCUACCGAGUUUUAUAAAGAUCUUUUUGGCCCAGCUCAGGGCAACCAAUUCCAUCUGGACCCUGAUACUUGGUCCGAGGACGAAAGGUUGAGUGAGGAUGAGAAUAGAGAUCUCUGUCAUGAAUUCACGGAGACUGAAGUUAAGGAUGCUCUUUUCUCUAUGGCCACCAAUAUGGCUCCUGGUCCGGACAAUGUACCUGUUGAAUUUUAUCAAAUAUGUUGGGAUAUAGUAAAGGAUGAUGUCAUGUCCCUUUUUAGGCAUUUCUAUAAUGGGACGCUUGAUGUUCAACGUCUUAAUUAUGGGGUGAUUACCUUACUACCCAAAGUGUCGGGAGCUGAAAAAAUCCAACAGUUCAGACUAAUAUGUCUCCUGAGGUGCCCAUAUAAGCUUAUUACAAAAGUAAUGGAUCGUAGGGUGGAGGUGUAUGCUGAUAAGUUGAUUAGCCCUACCCAGAAUGCGUUUAUUAAAGGUAGGAACAUUAUGGAUGGGGUUCUCUCCUUGCAUGAAAUUUUGAAUUACACUCAUGUCAAAAAAAGAGUUGGCAUAGUGCUUAAGCUGUAUUUUGAGAAAGCAUAUGACAAAGUUAACUGA